rnacentral:rRNA from 1 species
CACGUAGGGUGCGAGCGUUGUCCGGAAUUAUUGGGCGUAAAGAGCUCGUAGGCGGUGUGUCGCGUCGGCCGUGAAAACCUGCAGCUUAACUGUGGGCUUGCGGUCGAUACGGGCAUCACUGGAGUUCGGCAGGGGGAGACUGGAAUUCCUAGUGUAGAGGUGAAAUUCGUAGAUAUUAGGAGGAAUACCGGUGGCGAAGGCGGCCUUCUGGACCAUUACUGACACUGAGACGCGAAAGCGUGGGGAGCAAACAGG